rnacentral:rRNA from 1 species
GGUAGCAUAAUCAAUAGUCUUUUAAUUGAAGGCUUGUAUGAACGGCUAGAUGAGAGAAAUUCUGUCUUUUUUUAAGGUUAAAAUUUGACUUUUGAGUGAAAAGGCUCAAAUUAUAUGGGGGGACGAUAAGACCCUAUAAAACUUUAUAUANGUAUAGGUUUUUUUUAAUUUUACUAAAAUAUUAGAGAUCCUUAUUUAUAUUUUGUUGGGGAGACAUUGAUAUAAGCAGUAACUGUCUGAUUAAAAAUAAUAAUGAUAUUUGAACCCUNACUGAGGAUUAAAAGAAUAAGUUACUUUAGGGAUAACAGCGUAAUUUUUUCUGAGAGUUCCUAUCGAAGGAAGUAGUUGCGACCUCGAUGUUGAAUUAAGUUUUCUAUUAGAUGCAGCAGUCUAAUUAGUAGGUCUGUUCGACCUUUAAAAACUUACAUGAUUUGAGUUCAAACCGGUGUGAG